UACGAAGGGGGCUAGCGUUGUUCGGAAUUACUGGGCGUAAAGCGCGCGCAGGCGGUCUUCCAAGUCAGUGGUGAAAGCCCGGAGCUCAACUCCGGAACUGCCAUUGAAACUGUAAGACUUGAGGACGAGAGAGGUGAGUGGAAUUCCGAGUGUAGAGGUGAAAUUCGUAGAUAUUCGGAAGAACACCAGUGGCGAAGGCGACUUACUGGACACAUAUUGACGCUGAGGUGCGAAAGCGUGGGGAGCAAACAGGG
rnacentral:rRNA from 1 species